rnacentral:rRNA from 1 species
GACGAACGCUGGCGGCGUGCUUAACACAUGCAAGUCGAACGGAAAGGCCCUGCUUUUGUGGGGUGCUCGAGUGGCGAACGGGUGAGUAACACGUGAGUAACCUGCCCUUGACUUUGGGAUAACUUCAGGAAACUGGGGCUAAUACCGGAUAGGAGCUCCUGCUGCAUGGUGGGGGUUGGAAAGUUUCGGCGGUUGGGGAUGGACUCGCGGCUUAUCAGCUUGUUGGUGGGGUAGUGGCUUACCAAGGCUUUGACGGGUAGCCGGCCUGAGAGGGUGACAGGCUCCAGUGGCACUGGGGAACGGCCCAGACUCCUACGGGAGGCAGGAGUGGGGAAUAUUGCACAAUGGGCGGAAGCCUGGUGCAGCAACGCCGCGUGGGGAAGGACGGCCUUCGGGUUGUAAGCCGCUUUCGCCUGUGACGAAGCGUGAGUGACGGUAAUGGGUAAAGAAGCACCGGCUAACUACGU